GCGCCGGUGGUGUAAGGCCCUGCAUCUCUACCCGGAAAGCAGAAGGUGCAGGUUCGAGUCCCGCCUGUCGCU
rnacentral:tRNA from 1 species